rnacentral:rRNA from 1 species
UACGGGGGGAGCAAGCGUUGUUCGGAUUUACUGGGCGUAAAGGGCGCGUAGGCGGCCCGCUAAGUCGAACGUGAAAUCCCCGGGCUCAACCCGGGAACUGCGUCCGAUACUGGCGGGCUUGAAUCCGGGAGAGGGAUGCGGAAUUCCAGGUGUAGCGGUGAAAUGCGUAGAUAUCUGGAGGAACACCGGUGGCGAAGGCGGCAUCCUGGACCGGUAUUGACGCUGAGGCGCGAAAGCCAGGGGAGCAAAGCGGG